rnacentral:rRNA from 1 species
UACGUAGGGUGCAAGCGUUGUUCGGAAUUACUGGGCGUAAAGGGCGCGUAGGCGGGCUCGUAAGUUAGUUGUGAAAUCCCCGGGCUUAACCCGGGACGUGCAACUAAAACUGCAAGUCUUGAGUAUUGGAGAGGAUGGCGGAAUUCCAGGUGUAGAAGUGAAAUUCGUAGAUAUCUGGAAGAACACCGGAGGCGAAGGCGGCUGUCUGGCCAAAUACUGACGCUAAGGCGCGAAAGUGCGGGGAUCAAACAGG